CGUAUAUUAAGCAGAAGACGCCGAACGUUAGAGCGAGAAGAAUGCAACAUUAACACCAAAUAAGACGUGACAUUAAAUUACACGGAUGUACAUUACCAAAUACCAUGUCAUGGAACAUGCUUGCGUCUGGCAACCACUGAGAAGUAAAGAAAUGAUGUUUCUUUUACAGAAAAUGUAUGUGCUUUAGCCCAAAGAAGCCCCCAACCGAAACCACCAAUGUGAGCGAUUUUCACGAUUUGGUCCACUCAACUCCUCCAAGGAAAUUUUCAGCACUGGCCCCGGAUGUUUCCCAUCUGUUUCAGAAAUAUCUUAAGAAAAUAUAGGAAUGUACAAUUAAACAGGUGGACAAGACAGUUGCAAUCACAUCAGCACCGCUAAGACCAAAUAAAAAAUAGCUACACGUGUCAGCUUGGAAUCAUUGUGAAAACAGGGAUUUACCUUGAGUAUUGUAUUUGAGGGUCCCUGGCAUUUCCACUGUAUCUACCUAUCGGUAUAUUCUCAACCAGUGUAUUUAUGUAAAUUUGUAUAUGGGCUGAUGGUGUUUGAUACAA